rnacentral:tRNA from 2 species
GCCGGAGUGGCGGAAUUGGUAGACGCACGGGAUUCAAAAUCCCGCGACUUCGGUCAUGUGGGUUCGAGUCCCACCUCCGGCACCA